rnacentral:rRNA from 1 species
GCGUGAGUGAUGAAGGCCUUAGGGUUGUAAAGCUCUUUCACCCACGACGAUGAUGACGGUAGUGGGAGAAGAAGCCCCGGCUAACUUCGUGCCAGCAGCCGCGGUAAUACGAAGGGGGCUAGCGUUGUUCGGAAUUACUGGGCGUAAAGCGCACGCAGGCGGUGGUCAUAGUCAGAAGUGAAAGCCCUGGGCUCAACCCGGGAAUUGCUUUUGAUACUGGACCGCUAGAAUCACGGAGAGGGUAGUGGAAUUCCGAGUGUAGAGGUGAAAUUCGU